rnacentral:rRNA from 1 species
UGCGUAGGCGGUGCCACAAGUCACUUGUGAAAUCCCCGGGCUUAACUCGGGGCCUGCAGGCGAAACUGUGGUGCUGGAGUAUGGGAGAGGUGCGUGGAAUUCCCGGUGUAGCGGUGAAAUGCGUAGAUAUCGGGAGGAACGCCUGUGGCGAAAGCGGCGCACUGGACCAUAACUGACGCUGAUGCACGAAAGCUAGGGGAGCAAACAGGAUUAGAUACCCUGGUAGUCCUAGCCCUAAACGAUGAUUGCUUGGUGUAGCAGGUACCCAAUCCUGCUGUGCCGCAGCUAACGCGAUAAGCAAUCCGCCUGGGGAGUACGGUCCGCAAGGCUGAA